rnacentral:rRNA from 1 species
GAUGAACGCUAGCUACAGGCUUAACACAUGCGAGUCGAGGGGAAACGACAUCGAAAGCUUGCUUUUGAUGGGCGUCGACCGGCGCACGGGUGAGUAACGCGUAUCCAACCUGCCCAUCACUUGGGGAUAACCUUGCGAAAGUAAGACUAAUACCCAAUGAUAUCUCUAGAAGACAUCUGAAAGAGAUUAAAGAUUUAUCGGUGAUGGAUGGGGAUGCGUCUGAUUAGCUUGUUGGCGGGGUAACGGCCCACCAAGGCAACGAUCAGUAGGGGUUCUGAGAGGAAGGUCCCCCCCAUUGGAACUGGGACACGGUCCAAACUCCUACGGGAGGCAGCAGUGAGGAAUAUUGGUCAAUGGGCGAGAGCCUGAACCAGCCAAGUAGCGUGCAGGAAGACGGCCCUAUGGGUUGUAAACUGCUUUUAUAAGGGAAUAAAGUGAGAGUCGUGACUCUUUUUGUAUGUACCUUAUGAAUAAGGACCGGCUAAUUCCGU